CACAGGCCAACAGAUGAUGGACAGCUGCCUGGGGGCAUAUCAGGGGUCGGUGACGUCAUGUGGGACAUAGCUUCGUGGUCAUGAUGUGAUUUAUUAAGCAGAUAUGUGGAAGAUGACAUCAUCAGACAGAUACCUGACAGGUGACACCAUUGAUUAGAUACGCAGGGUGUAACACAUGAUGUCAUCAGACAGAUACAUAGUAAAUGACAUCCUUUAUUAGAUAAUGCGUGGCAGGUGACGUCAUUUACUAGGCAGGUAAGUGACAGGUGGCGUCAUCUGCACCCCCAUCUGGCACCUGUCAUCGGGAUUUCAAUACUCGACUGACUGCGCCUAGUGAGGGAUCACCUCUGUCAUCUGUGUCUGUCACUAUAUCAAUAAUCAACCCAUCAGCUCUCACCUGUCUUUCCAGCAAUAAUCGAUGCACAUCAGUGGACUGAGGGGGUCCGGGUGACAUAUGACGGUGAUGUGUGACGGUGACUUGUGCAAAGAUGAGGUGGUUGAGUCUCGGCUCACUCUGCUUCUCCAGAUUUGUGUCAGCCGUCUGUAACAUAAGACCCUGAGAAGCGGGCCAUGUGCAACAUGUGAGCCUGAGGAGUGGGCCGUGUGCAGUCUCUACUCCUCCAGAAUGGGCCAUAUGCAAACUCUGACGUGUAGCAGUGGCCGUGUGCAACAUGUGAACCUGAGAGGUGCUGCUUACAUAUGGAGGCAGCAGUGGGGCCACUGCCGCAGGGAAAGGUAGAGUCGAGGGACUUCAGUGGGUUCUCAUCUCCCGACGUCGGGGAAGCCGAGGAGCGGGAAUUCCAGACCCCGUGUUGGACGGUGCAGUCUGAACCCAGAACCACACCAGGAAGGCGUGAGGUCACGAGGCGCUGCAGAGGGACCAGGGCUGUGCUCUCCCCGACAAGCCCCACCCUCCAUGUCAGGGCAAAUCUUGCAGCUUCUGCACAAGGCUCCAUGUCCCUGUUCAAGUCUUUACACCUUUUGCACACAGCACUGUGCAGAUCCUCACAGCACCAUGUAUCUUUGCAAAGCCUUAUAGUUUCUGCACGUGACAACGUGCCCCUGUGCAAAUCGGCUCGAGUUUUGCAUACAGCACCAUGUCCCUGUGCAAACGAUGUCAGUUUUUGAACCCAGGACCCUGCACAAAUCUUCGCAGCCUUUCACAUGGCACCAGGUCCCUGUGCAAGUCUCCCUGCUUCUGCACCCGGCACCAUGUACAAAUGCUCCCAGCACUUGCACCCGGCACCAUGUCCCUGUUCACAUCUUCGCAGGCUUUGCACACGCACCGUGGCCGUGUGCAUAGGGCGCGCACACCCAGGGCAGCACCCACACUCUAAAUCCAUACACAAUAGAGCAGCGAAACAAAAGGAACCCAGCGGGCGGGGUGCAAACUUGUCUAGAUCCGCAUCCGACUGGUCGGGCCGGCGGUGGGACCCGUUGCCAGGGCAACGCUCUCCCGGCCAGAGGUCUCGAGCGGACCCUCCUGAAAGUGUCAGGAAACAUUAGCGGGCCGGGCGCACUCACGGCUGUAAAUUGGCCCCUAAUCAGGUCCACGGCGGCAGGGGCGGCGGGGGCUGCGGGGGCGGAGGCAUGACAGGACGGUGCUCGGCCCCGGGGCCACCCACGCCGGCUCAGUCCAGUUUAUUCCCUGUUUAAAUGCGGCCGGUGGAGUCUUUGCACAUGACCCACUGCUCAAAAUCCUGAAAGAGACAAAAACCGGGAAGUUUGUGGAUUCAUCAACUGACGAUCAGCGGUUCCGUGAAAUCACAAAUAUUCAGUCGUCAAACGUCGCCAUGUUGCUUUCAAAAGCCCGGGGUUCCGGGGGUCGGACCCGCGUCCUCGGCUUGGCUGCCUUUGUUUAUCCACUGUUUACUUCUACUUAUUUGAAAUAGCAGCCGAAUGAAAGACGAACUGGGGACAAGUUUAAGGACGUGCUAUGAUGUCAGAGCUGCUGAAGGGGAACCGAGUGCAAAGUUAGAAAAAGGGGGGUUAAGUACUUCCAGGCUCGGGCUGCUCGCAGAAACCUUUGUCUUUUUUCCUUUGCUGGCGACUGUUCUUUAUUUAGAAUGAAGGGAUGGAAACAGACCUAGAAAGUAGUAAAAGGAAGGGACGGUUCUAGGGUGACACAGUCCGAGGCUUUGAGCCCUGGCCAGACCAGAAAGAAGUGGAGGUGACCUCGUGGGUUUCCGUAGAGAACUGAGUUGUGUUGGUGCUGGGAAAUACAAUACAGCUCUGAAAAGGGGGCACCUGCAUGUUUCCACAGAAAACUGAGCUGUGUUUCUGAUCUGGAAUACUA